GUCUGAAGUGGAAGUAAACCAAUUCAGACUCCGACUCCUGAAACCCGAGUCAGAGAAGGUGGAUGUCACAGCAGUGAGAUGAGAGCGUUUAAAUGAAAAAUGAAAUCCAGUCAAUCUGAAUGAGUCCCCAGCAUCUCUGUGCAGCAAAGAAGCCGAAGGGGCUCUGCAUCCUCACUCAGCUUGUGAAGAAGUGCAUAGCUCUGAGCAAGUCAUUUAAAUCAAUCUCCGGGUCUUGGUGUCCUCAUUUUCACAGCAUUGUCAACCGGACCUGUGGUGCCCUGCACAUGGCUUCAAGAGAAAAGAAAACCACGUUCUCUCAGAAACACAGUUGACUUUGCAAUGUGACAUUUGGAACUCUGAAUUGCUGAGAGAGUCUACAUUUUAAGGAACUCCCACUUGUCAAGUGUUUCUGUACCGCUGAAGAAGUAUUGAAGUACUCACAGUUACUGAGAGGGAAUUGAAAUGGUCCUCCCCACCACUGUGCAUCUAAUGAGGCCAGGUUAUCGCAAACAUUAGCUGAAACAACACAUUGUCGUGGACUGGAAACAGAGACACACAAAACCAAGUUAUCUUCUAGUACACCAAACAACCAGGAGGCUUGCAUGUAAAACAAUGGCAUUCCCUCUUACUAAGAUUUUUGAUUGGAAAAUAUAGCCAACAGUAAAAAUACACAUGCUAACAUGGAAUAACCUAUAUUUUAAAAAUAUUUUUAUUGUGGAAAAUUAUGCAUACACAAAAUCUACCAUUUUAACCAUCUCUAGACGUACAAUUCAGUGACCUUAUGUUUUGUACCAUAAUCCAUCUGUAAAAUCUUUCCAUCUUCCCAAACUGAACUCUGUGCCAUUGAAACUGUAUCUCUCUUUUCCCUUGCCUCCCCAGCACCUGACAACCAGCACUCUGCUCUCUGUGAAUUGAUCCAUUUUGAGAGAAGCAAGUAGAAUCAUGCAUCUAUCUGACUUGUUUCACUGUGUGGAUGAUAUUCAAGGUUUGUCCAUACUGUUACUCUGAUUUUAAAAAAUAAACAGCCAGACAUGGCAGUCCACA